UAACGUUUUGGUGUUGCAACGAAAAUGGUU
rnacentral:piRNA from 1 species